rnacentral:rRNA from 1 species
GACGAACGCUGGCGGCGUGCUUAACACAUGCAAGUCGAACGAAAAUACCAAGCUUGCUUGGUUGAUUAGUGGCGAACGGGUGAGUAACACGUGAGUAACCUGCCCCUUACUUUCCUGGAUAACUGCUCGAAAGGGUAGCUAAUACGGGAUAUUCUUACCAGCCUGCCUGGGUUGGUUUGGAAAGGUUGUUUUUCUGGUAAGGGAUGGGCUCGCGGCCUAUCAGCUUGUUGGUGGGGUGAUGGCCUACCAAGGCUUUGACGGGUAGCCGGCCUGCGAGGGUGGACGGUCACACUGGGACUGAGAUACGGCCCAGACUCCUACGGGAGGCAGCAGUGGGGAAUAUUGCACAAUGGGCGCAAGCCUGAUGCAGCGACGCCGCGUGAGGGAUGAAGGCCUUCGGGUUGUAAACCUCUUUCGUCAGGGAACAAGGCACUGCUUUUUUGGUGGUGUUGAGGGUACCUGGAUAAGAAGCGCCGGCUAACUACGUG